rnacentral:lncRNA from 1 species
UCCUCAAGCAGACCUGCACAGGAGUUCUGCAAGUGUCUCUUGGCUACGCUUGCUUUGAAAAACACUCGGCACAUAUCCUAUGCCUCCGAUGCGAAGCACGCUCCACACAGCUGCGGCUUAGGCAAUUCAGCCCGGAGUCGACGUGUCACAGCCAAUCUGCAGCUACAACUGAAAAGCAGACACCCGAAGCAGAGAGGUCCAGCUUCCCAGCCCACAAACAACUUCUAUCAGCUCCCAGAUGCUGACACGAGGCACCAAGAGGCACCCAAGCCAAAAGCCUGGAUUCCAAACAUCCCUGAACUCUCGAGAAGUUCAAAUCAGAGCACACAUCUUCAGCGAGAAGGGGAAAGCUGUAACGUGAUCCCGGUCCUGUGCAAUAGAGGUAACACUCAAGUGCAGUCUGAAGGUGACUUCCAGAAUAUGCGGUGCGGAGCCGAGUGGAGAAAGAGAAGAAAAAGCACGAAGGCAUUUUUAAUAUGUGGAAAAAACAAAUGCUCUAGCAGGGAUCUGGGUAUCUGCUGCCUGUGGGAGGGUGGGGAAGGUUGCUGA